AAAAAAGGCAGUGGAUUUUAAGGCACUCCCUAGCAGGGAUUAGGAGGUUGGCUGGAAAGAACAGGGAAGUCGCCCCAUCUCUGAAUGCUGGGGUAGGUAAAUAAACUCUUCAACUCUGCUUAUCCUUGAGCCCAGAGCUAUUUACAAGAAUGAGGAAGAGAGAGAAUUCCGAAACAAAACUACGCAAGGAUCCAGUGACUCAUGGUGACUGCUGGUUCUUCUGGUUACUCAGAACAAAACUGGUUUUGGCUGUGUCGGCAUUCAAGUUGAACAAUUUUUUGGAAUCCUGAAACUCCCAGUGAAAGAGAAACCGCCUACUCCCUGAAGUGCAAUGGCUGUAUCUUGCUGAGAGACAACUGCUAGAGCUCUGGCUGAAAGCUGUGGCUACGCAUGAAGUCACCUUGCACCUUUGCAGAAUCAAGACGUAGUCAGAAAUUUCUGAAACAGAAACAUAUGAAACUGAAUGUUACGAAACAUAUUUCCCUGGGAAAAUAAGAUCUUUGUUAAAAAGCCAUUCUCUUCUGGAUACUGCUAGACCUUAUUUCUGUACUAUGUUACACUGGUGAGAUACAGAGCUGAAUCUGCAUAAAGAGGAUCAGAAUCCUUGAGGAAAAGCAAAGUCCUUUCUUUGAAAGUGGGCGAGAAGAAGUUGCAUAGCCUGUGGGCGCACUCCAGGGCACCUCACCAGGCCCUCCCAGCGCUCGCCAUAUCCCUAAAUUUGCCUGCCUGACCUGGGUCCUGUAUCUACUCAGGGAGCCCAGCAGCCGGACACGGGCUGCUUGGCUUUCAGUGCUCCUUGCAAGCCCGCGUUAGACCACUCACAUGAACCAGGCUUGGUGUACAUGAUCGCCUGGAGAAGUGGUCUUGGACAAACAAAAGGCUUUGUUCAAAGCACAAUACUCUUAUGACCACAUCACCUUGUUAUCGUCCAGAAGCUAUGCAAAACACUUGGCAGAGAGGUAUCUGGCUUUUCCUGUGCUGCUGAAGGCGCUCACUGCAGGCAGUAGACCUGAGCCAUCAGGACAAGGUGUGAGUGAGUGCUGCAGAUCCUUUGCUGGAUUAUUUUUAUUAUCUGGAAGGGCUCUUUCCAGCUGCAAAGAAUACAAAGAAUUCAUCUGAUCACAAGUUGGAAAGAUAUGCAGAUCCCAAGAUGCCAAAUCUUCUGAUGUCCAAGGGCAUCUCUCAAAACUUGCUCACUUGUCUCUCAUUGGAAGCAUCUGCCUGGAAGACUCCUGCUGGUGGUGCAUAGACAAGGUGCCUCCUCUCUUCUCACAUGGCAACCCAAGUGAUGAUGAAACCAAGGAGCUGAAGAAGGAGAGGCUGGGAAGGGAGUCGCUAACAUUGAAUCUGUGAGAUAUCCUGGCUGUCUUUUUAAGAAGAGAAGAGAUAAAUCUGGGGGUUGCAUGUGAAUCAUGGUCAGUUGCAUGCAAAGCUAGUAGUUUCUCAUAAAAUCCUCCAUAUGUUUGCAGUUUCUGAAAUUUCCAGAUGUAAACUGUGUUACAGAUACUUUCUUCUAUCAACUCUGGGAUCUUUUUAUAAAAAAAAAGUUUGUUUGAGAAGCUCUGUUUUCCAUAAAACCACAUAGAUUUGCAUUAAUUAUGUUGUCUUCCCUGAAUGUGCUCUUGCUUGCAUCCUUUGUCAAAAUGCAUGAUUGGCCAUGUGAGAGACAAAUUUAGGGUUAACGUGUGAUCUGUCCUGUUUACUGUUCUGAAGUAUAAAAUUUCCUUUUUUAUGUUCAUAAGAACA